rnacentral:sRNA from 1 species
UAAGAUUAUAGUAUCGGCCCGUGCGAAC